rnacentral:rRNA from 1 species
UACGGAGGGUGCGAGCGUUGUCCGGAAUCAUUGGGCGUAAAGGGCGCGUAGGUGGCCCGGUCAGUUCGUGGUGAAAGCGCGGGGCUCAACUCUGCGUCGGCCAUGAAUACUGCCGCGGCUGGAGCACUGUAGAGGCAGGCGGAAUUCCGGGUGUAGCGGUGGAAUGCGUAGAGAUCCGGAAGAACACCGGUGGCGAAGGCGGCCUGCUGGGCAGUUGCUGACACUGAGGCGCGACAGCGUGGGGAGCAAACAGG